UACGGAUUCGACAGGGAUAGUUCGAGCUUGGGCUGCGAGCCGAGGGGAUCGUCCUCGCAAAAACGUCAAAGCCAAUAAUAACUGGCAAACAAAACAACAACCUCGCUUUAGCUGCCUAAUAACAGCUUGAAGCGGUUCCUCCCUCCAUCGCCCAUGUGGUAGGGUAAGGGACUCACUCUUAGUGGGCUACGCCGUAGUUCUCCGCCUGGGGACAAAGGAAGAGAUGAAUCAGGCUAGCUGUCAAGACGCCCGUCGAUAGGCAGAAGGAACAGCGAAACUCGAAUAUAUCGACUACGCUCGUAGAUGUUCAAGUGCCGUUAUCUUUGGACGUGGGUUCGAUUA
rnacentral:tmRNA from 1 species